UGUUAAAAUUUUUAUCAAUUUUUACCGUUAAAAAUUGGCUUAACUAAUAGAAUAGUCAAGCAACUAUGUGCUACAUGUAUCUCAUUUUGGUAUAUAGGGACCAAUUUUUAACAAAAAGAUUAAUUUACUUAUGAUCU
rnacentral:pre_miRNA from 1 species